ACACAAGACUGUGAAUGUACUCGCCUGAACCCUAUCUACGACGAUUCAGGAUUGGCCUUUCGUCUUCAUCCGCGACGGUUGGAAUCACCCUUCUGAGCUGCCUCGUUACACUGUUCAAUCUCUGAUUUUUAGCGCUCCUCUAAUUUUUGUGAGAAAUUGGAAUAGGCGCGUUUGAUAACUUAGUCUCUCCAAUUCAUUCAAUUUUCUCUCUAUCAUAGAAUCUUCUCUCUCACACAUAUUCACCCAUUCUCUCUCGUAGAAGUAGCUUCAUUGCAUCCACCCAGUUUCUAUAACUUGCAUCGCAUUUAACAUCUCAAUUCUGAACACUUCAGAGAGAGCAAUUCAAGUGCAGAAAGGUCUAGAGAGUUGUCAUUGUGAUGUCAAGCUAGAUGGCAAAGGCAACCCCAAAGAAUUUGAUGAGGAUGAUGGGAAUUCCUGGACUCACUCUGUAUAAAUUCAAGAGUCAUUUGUAGAAGAAUGGACUUGGAAAAAACCAACUCGUAGAAACUUUUUCUGGUGAAAAACAAGGUGAGUCAGUAACAAAAUGAUUGAUAGUUUUAUGAUUUUGAUUAAUCUUUAAAUUCUUCAUUCAUGGGUGCAUAUUACAUAGAGAUUCAAAGCAAUGGCAGUCAUUGCAGUAGAGAAAUCAGUGUCGUUAAUCAAUGGUUUUGUUUAUGCAGCUUGGUUGGAAAUUAGUAUGCACAUCAUAUUAUUUUGCAGACGGCGUUGCAUUAGGUGGGGUUCAGCCAUGACUGAUUUAGGGGCAGCAUGAUGGGUUAAAGUAUAUGUGUAUCAAUGAUGUGAAUAGAGAGAUAAAAUUAUAGUUUAUGUGACUAUUUUUUUGGUUCAUGUCUAAACUUGAGAGAUAAAGUUUUUUUUCUAAAAGUGAUAUUAUUUUUGGUCUAUGGACAUAACUUUCAAACAUUAGCCUAUUUUUUAUGUCAUUCAUUGCAUGUGAGUGGUGAUAUUUAGAUGUGCUGGUGCAAUCUAUUUCAUGUUGUGGGAUUGUCAAAGUAUAGUUAUUUAAUUUAGGCUCAUUUUAUAGGUUUUUCAUAAUUUAUUUUAUGAAUUGAAUUGAAAUUUGUGACUACUUUGACAUGUAAGGAGUGAUUUAGAGAGAGUUAAAGUGUAAAUGAAACUUUGGUUUGUUUUUGUUGAAUUAUUAGUCAUACUACAAUAGUGAAAGCUUGCUGAUGGAGAUGUCAGAAUAUGGCAGGUGGCCUAAGCAGUGUUUUUUGUUGGCAUCUAGUGCUUUUUUUGAGUUUCAUUUAGCUAUUUAUUUAUUUUUGCAAUUAUAUUGUUAUGAAAUUCUAAGGCACUGGUGUUUGACAAUGAGUCCAUCUAUAAAAAGGGACAUUAUUUUUCCCCAUUAUAUAGUCUUCGUCAAUUUUUUUGCUAACAAUAAGUAUCCAUUUCAUGAAGGAAUACAUUACCACUUUGUCCUUUAUGGUUUGAUUAAAUUUCUAAGGAUGAGGUUUGUUCUUCUUUCCACUUUUAAAUAUGUCUUUCCUGUUUGAUUAUGUUCUGAUAUACGAUUUUAUAACAAUAUAUGUUUCAUUCAGUUUUGACAACCACUUCUUUUCUCAUCCGAGUUAAUUUGAUGCUUUAACCAUGGGUCUGAUUCUCAAAUUAAGCCAGGAAUACAGUCCACUUAAAGGGGGUGCUCAUGCAUGUUUUACUUUGUUGGAGAAACACAUGGCUGCCACUAUUUCAGGGAUUACGAUGUUGCGCUGGAUUUGGAAUUGCACUCAAUCGAUAAGUUCUUGAUCCAAUGUCUUGCCUUUUAUCAGGUUACUUUUGAUAUUGAUUUUUAUGUAACUGAAACUUUUGGAGAUGGUUUGUAUCAAGCAUGUAAGGACAUAAAAUUUGGGACAAUGAAUACAAGGACUAUAGACUUUGUUGGGGCUGGAGCUAGCAAUUAUGAAGGCGAUCCAUUAUAACAUGGUUGGAUUUAUUACAUAAAUUGCAUAAGCUCUGUUAAACAAGUGAUUCAGUUAACUGUGUAAUUGUGUUGUUUUUCACUAAUAGACAAGUAGAUUAUAUCUACUCUCAUUUUGUUAGUAUUAUUGACAACUAACUUGAUGUGCUUGACUUAAUGUAGGAGUAUGAACAUUUGUGAAAAGCAUUUUAAAAUGUGUUUAUAAGUUGAAAAUAUAUAAGCACAUUGAUCCAUGAUGCAUCUAUUUCAUUGUAAAUU